GUAGAAGUGUGGUGCUCUGUAGCAGGGUUAGAGUCCUUGCUGAGAGCUCAGGAGAAGCAGUUGGUGGGAAGUAGAGUCCCGGUGCAGUGGAGAGCACUGAAUUUUGGAGAGGCUAGUACCAUGGAUCACCAAGGACGGCAGCAUGUGUAAAGUGAAGCUAUCUUGAGCCUGUGAAAAAAAGCUGUAUGAGCCAAGAAUGGCAGAAUGGGACAAGCACAGCUGUCCCAGCCCCUUGGAGCCCAGAGGAUCGUGAGUGGGUCCCAGAUUCCAAGCACUGGAACUUUACGUACCAUUCAAUACAAGAUACUGAAAAUUGUUAAUGGAAAUGUACGUGGAAAGUAAGGGCACAAAUAACCCAGGGAGAGCAUGCAGAUGCCUGGCACCUGUGCAUUGUAGCAGCAAUUGACUCUCUUCAGAUAUCAGACAUCCAAUGGGACCAGCUGCUUCCUUUCCCGCCACAUGUCUUCCCUGCUGUGAUGAACUGCACCCUUGAGCUGGGAGCCAAGAGAAACCCCGCCUUCCUACAACUGCUGUUGUCGAGUUUGGUUUCCACAUCAACAAGGCCAACCACUGCUACAAGGAGGAAAGAAAUUCUGGUAGAUGAAAGUGCUGAGCAAGUUCAUGAUGAAUUGUCAGAGCCAUCAUGCUUAACAUAUUUAGAGAGAGCCCAACCUGAUUUUCAAGAAUAAUGUUAUUUUAGAAUAUAUCUCAAACAAUCAUAUUCUGUAUAAGUAGAGAGAGACUGUAUAUUUACCUUUUCAAGGGGAUUCCUGUAUCUAUUAUCUUGAUGUGGUGACAGUUUCAGUUGUAAGCAUGCAAUGUCUUGUUCUAAUUAUGCUUCCACCGUCAAAUAAAAUAUAAGGCAUAUUUGCUUGUACCAAGAAUGUUCUAAAGGGUAGGGUAUUGC